UGAACUUGGAGGAUUCUCUGCUGACGAAGGAAAGAGAGACAUUGGACCAUUUUCUGCAGGCAAAGGAAGAAAAGGAUCUGAAUUGCCAUCAAUAUUCAGUGGCAUAACUGUUUUUGCUAGAUCAUCCAACUGGGAAGGCAAUCUCAAGAAAAGAAGCAGCCAAGCAGCUGAAACUUGAAGCAGUAGCAGGUCCUGUCAACAUGCAAAUGUAAUGCAACAUCUGACAGCAAUAUAAAAACAGCGGCUGAGUGCUAAAGCAGGCAGGACCUCCCACUACAUAUUUCUGAUAAAUACCGAGGAGCUGAACUUGUUUCAACACCCUCCUUUAAAGUGGAGCUCUAAUCCCUAACCAGGAAAUCUAGGAGUCCUGCAGUAUUGACAGAUCCUUCAUUCAUACUGCUACAUGAACUAUGACAGAGAAAGGAUAUGACUGACAGCAAUUACUGCAGAGUACAUAGGAUUUCCAGCUGAAGACCUUGAUCUAGUAUCAGCCACCAGGAAAACAAGUCUUCAGACACACUACAUGCUUAACACCCC